UACGUAGGGAGCGAGCGUUAUCCGGAAUUAUUGGGCGUAAAGGGUGCGUAGAUGGUCAAUUAAGUCUCAUGUAAAAAUGCUGGGCUCAACCCAGUAGGGCAUGAGAUACUAAUAGACUAGAGUAUGACAGAGGCAAGUGGAACUACAUGUGUAGCGGUAAAAUGCGUAAAUAUAUGUAAGAACACCGGUGGCGAAGGCGGCUUGCUGGGUCGAUACUGACAUUGAGGCACGAAAGCGUGGGGAGCAAACAGG
rnacentral:rRNA from 1 species